CCGUUGCCAUCUUGACCCCGAGCCCAAAAUUUGGAGUUCGUACCCCCUCGAACGCGGAGAACGCACACCGCGCCUGCCACCGCCACACCGCGCAGUGCCUCCCAGCGCCCUAGCGCCGCGGCGGCCGAAUCCGACGUACCCGACGCGAGGUAGCGCGGCGGUGCCUGACGCGGCUUCCCGCCUCCUUCAAGCGACACAGGGUCGCAAUCGGGGUGAAAGCUUUUGCAUCCCCCACCCGAUCCGGCUGCCUCCGCGCCGGCGACGCCGCGCGAUGGAUGGGACGCCGUCCGGCGGCACCAGGGGACACCGGCUCCUACCUCUCUUCGACUCGGUGAUGAGCUGGUAUGGCCUCCAACUCUACUGCACUAGCAAGUGUAUUAGCGUACUGUUGUAGAUCUUCCCGUACGAUUAAAUUCAGAGCAGCAUGACACAUUUCGCCGGACGCUGGCUCCACCCCCCCCCCCCCCCCCGGGAAUUGCUUUAGGGUUGUUCGGAUUCCCACAUUCUAAUCGCCUCUGCUAAAAGUUUCCUUGAGUGAAUUGGUCUAGGAACAAGGACAUCUUACUAAUACAAAUACCAAAUUGUGAAUUACUGAAUUGCUUCUCCUGCAAAUACUUCUUAUCCAUUGGACUGCUUUUUUUUAAAAAAAUAAAAAACUCAUUGAACUGCAAAUUGAUCUCACGAGUAUGGAGGGAACAGAGUUGUCGGGGGGAAUUGGGGAAGUUUACUCGAGUUGUUUGCUUUGCCAAUGCUUUAUUUGGGCCUCUCAGCCAAAAUACAGUAACAGAGCUGCUCAGAACCUGCAGUGGUCAACACUCGACGCAUAUUUUAUGCAGCAGCUGCUUAACUACAGUUCAUUCAAAGUACACAGAUCCUUGCAUAUUAGAAUUUACGCCCUGAAACUAUAAGCUAACACUUGGAAAUGUAACUGCCCCUUAACACCUUGUUUUCUCGUGUUUCAUUAAUUCAUUUAUUACCGGUGUCCAUUUUGCUACCUGCAAUUUCAGGUUCUUGGUUUUAAGAAUUUAGUUAUCUACUCGACCAAUAGGCUUUAUAAUUUCAAAUGUAAAAGUCGCAGAAUGAUAAUUUGAACUACUUUAUUGUACAUAUAUCAUAUUCCCAUUGUGCAUGCACUAGCAUGCAUUGUUAGCCUGUUCUUUUUCCUGGCACUCAGAUCUUGCUUCAGAAUAAACACCUCAUCUUCUUGUAAUCAAACCAGAUAUGGCAAUUCCUUUAUAACACUGUGGUGCUGUCUAGUUACGCAAUUCCCUGAGGUAAUCCACUUAGGUUUUAGUUUGUGAUUUCCGUACCCCAUUUGAUGUUCAUUUGAAGGUUUUUAACAGAUAAUGAUGAUAUGGUGCAGCCUUGAGUCCUUCACUUUCAGCGAAGAGCCGUGUUCAUACCCCGGUGGUAAUAGAUAUGACCUGUUGGCCUUCGCCUGUGCUACCUCACCAGUGUGCUCCCUUGCAGAAAUUAUCUACGGCGGUCUGAGCCUCGUAAAAACAAUUUUCGAAGAUAUCUUACCCUAUAUAAAAGAUACAAACAAAGGAUCGGUACCUGCGUAUGGUAGCCCUGCGGCAGCUGGGAGAUGAAACUGUCGGCGUUGGCCGCCUUCGCCACGGCGACGACCUCCUCCUCCGUCGCGUCCUCCUUGCCGAACAAGAUGUUCUCCCUAAUGGACGUCGCGAACAGCGCCGGCUCCUGGCUGACCAGCCCCAUCUGCGCACGCAGCCACUUGAGGCGCAGGCGACGGAUGUCGACGCCAUCCAGGGUCACCUGCCCCGCCGAUGGAUCGUAGAACCGCUGCAGCAAGGCAAUCGCCGUCGACUUCCCUGACCCGCUGCUCCCAACAAGUGCCACCGUGUGCCCCGCCGGCACGCGCAGGCUGAAGCUCUUGAAGAUUGGGUUGUCGGGUCGCGAUGGGUAGCAGAACUCCACGUCCUUGAAUUCCACCUCGCCGGCGACCCUGGCCAGCUCCUCGCCGGCGUUGCUCUCCGAGUCGAUCUUGGGCACCCGCCGGAUCACCUCCAGCAUCCUCUCCGCUGCCACGGUUGCCUCCGCGAAGUACUUGAUGUUCGACAGCCCCUGCCCCAGCGCUCUGUAUAUAAGGUUUGUCAAUGGCGUCGGGAUCUAGUCAUGAUGUUGUGAACUAAGCAUGGAGUUGCAGGUAGCUGGAAGUCUGGAACUACGUACGAGCCUCCGAUGAUGAUGCUGGUGGAGGCGGCGUAGACGGUGCCGCCCUUGUAGCUGUGGGACAUGAUGAGGCGGGUGCCGUACCAGAGGUUGAAGGCGUAGAUCGCGAAGGUGAUGCCUUCGCUGCCGAGGGUGACUCCCUUGGCGACCCCCUGCUUGAUCCCGAGCCGUGCCGACUCCUGGAGCGCGGCGGAGAACUGCGCCACGGUGCUGCCCUCCGCCACCAACGAGUACACGGUUCGCACCGACGACAUGGCCUGCUCGGCGAUGGCGCCCGGGCGCGUGUACUGCUCCCUGAUCCGGCGCGCGAGGCUGAUGAGGGUGCGGCCGUAGAGGAAGCCGGGGACGACGAGCAGCAGCGAGGACGGCAGCCCCACCAGCGUGAGCCGCCACAACAGCGCGAAGCCGACGGCGUAGCUGCCGAGGAACCUGGCGGUGUUGUUCACGAAGUUGGGCACCUUCUCACUCAGCGCGUCCUGCACGGCGAGGCUGUCGCUGGAGACGCUGGUGAUCACCUCCGACGUGGAGCCGACCUUGAGGUCGAAGUACUCCACGUCCUGCCGGAGCACCGCGCUCAGGUACCGCGCCCGCAUCCGCGACGACUGCCGCUCCGCCGUCCGCGUCCAGCAAUACCCCUCUGCACGCGCACACAGGGGGUGUCGUCAGAAGCAGUCACAAGCGCCGCCACUGGCGUGCAGGCGUAAUUGCAAACCGAGCUCACCCAGGAACGCCAAGAUCCAGUUGGCGGCUGCCAAGAUGAGGAGAUUCCUUGCGUUCUGGUCAGUGAUGGUGUUCAUGUGAGUUGUGACAUGGCUAAAUGGCUACGAUUGGAGGUCAGAGAUGCGAUUCGUGUA